rnacentral:lncRNA from 1 species
AGACGGAAUGCUUUUCAGAAGCUUAGGAGCCCUAAACAGGAAGCGUAAGAGGAAGAUGGGCAGUUUCUCUUUUGUCGUAUUGUCUUUGAGCAGUAGUUCUGUUUCCUGCUGAGUAAAUUGUGUGUAUUAUACAUGUAUUAAGGUCCUUGGAUACAUACACACUGUUGCCUUCACGAAGAGAGUGGUCUUCACGCCACUGAUUGUCUUUUUCUAUUAAGCUCUCGUUUUUACAAGGACAGCUUCAAGACACAAGACACAUUUUAAACCAGUUCCUAGUAUGACUCAAAAGUUCUCUGACUAAAAAGGACUUUCUCGCCAGCUGAUACCUUAGUUAACGUUAUAGUGAGCCAUUCAGACCCAAUUCCGAGUUUCUGUGCCUUGUAUAUGAAAGAAUUUCCCAAGAUGCCUAAUCACAUUUGGUUUUCAUGCUCACAGAAUACCCUACCUUCUAAAAGGAUAGGAUUAAGAAAGUGAAAACCAAGUUUCUUGCAUAGCACCCUAGUAUUAUUGUGCCCAGUCUCAUCAUUUUUAAAUGUCAUUGGAUUCUUAUUCCACAGUACAGUUAAAGCAUGUUAGCAAUAGUUAAAUAUAGACAUAUUAAAUUUAAGAAUAAUAACCAAUUACCAUUUUACCAUUGUCAACUUUUCUAAAAUAUCUUCUUAUAAAACAUUGCUAGCUGGCCGUGGUGGUGGCACACCUUUAAUCCCAGCACUCAGGAGGCAGAGGCAGGCGGAUUUCUGAGUUCGAGGCCAGCCUGGUCUACAAAGUGAGUUCCAGGACAGCCAGAGCUAUACAGAGAAACCCUGUCUCAAAAAACCAAACAAACAAACAAAAAAACCAACAUUGCUUUUUUAUGCAGUUAGGAAUAUGUUUUUUAGGAGAUGUGCUUUUUAACUUACAGUAUUAGUGUGGCCUUGAUCCUUGCCAUAUUUCCCAUACUACAAUGCAAAUGCUGUCCGCACAUGUAUUUGAGAGUUACUUCAGUUUUCUUUCAUUUCCUGUGUUCUUCAGGGUAGAGUGGUUAGCUUUACCAGCAGCAUUCAAAUAGUUAAGACUGUCUCAAGGAAGCAGGCAGCCUCAACCCUCCCCUUAUGCACUUUCUCAACCACUCUCUGGCUUCCUCUUACCGUUUUGCUAAUGGUAGCUGUGAGCUGUCUGCCUGCCGGCAUGAGCAUCUUCUGUGAGAGGACAUUUCCUGGCAUGGGGGUCAAAUCAUGUCAGUAAAAUGGGGUCGGCUUCCCGAAGUUCCUCUCAUAACCGUGAGAUUCACGGGACUAAAACAUGGGCAGGUAAGAGCCUGACUUCUUCAAAGCACUGAGUUACAGCAGGGGGAGGCCAUGUGUAGUUUGUUGUUUUGUUUUUGUUCUUGGAGGAACUCAUCUGGAUUACUGUAAAGGAUGAGAACAUGGAUUAUUCAGAUCUGAGGAACAUUACAGUUCGCCAGAGGCUCACCUAGCUGGCCUAGAAAGUUGUGCUGUUUGCUUUUUUUUUUUAACCAUUGGUGUAUGCUUUUAACGGUCAAGCCAAAAAAAAAAAAAAAUAGUUUUAACUUAACAAUUUACUCAGAGAAAUUUGCAGCAAAAAACUCGCUAAAAGGGCUGUGCUCAAGGUGUGGUGAUUCAGAAUCAGGUUCUAUGCAUUUUAGCAGUUACUAAUUUCUGUUCAGAAGAGUUUCCUGUUUUGUAAGGUGGUUUUCCCCUGUCCUUUCUGUUUGGUGUUUUUUGUUGUGGUUUUUGUUUUUUGUUUUUUGGGGUUUUUUUAAGUUUUAACAUGCAUCGGUUUGGCUUUUGAGGGGGGGGGUGCUCCAUGUAUUCUGUUAAGGGAGAGUUUCACAUGAAUCAUAGAUUUUACAAACAGCCCAUUUCAUAAUAUUGGGUGGGUUCUGAACUUUAGAAAAUCAGACAGUUUGAGUUCCUAUUUGUUACUGAUGAUUGCUCUGUGACCCUUUGCAACUCAAGGGAGAUUGCCAGCCCUUUACAGUAAGUGUGGUGGAUGAGAGCUGAGCUUUAGUGAUCCCAGACUGCAUCAACUGCAGCUUCAACAGUUCCUGCUCUGGGCGCC